CCCACCCCAAGAAGGGGAAACCUCCGGCUGAGGAGAAAAUUUCGGUUGCAUCCCAGUCCAGGCCUAGGAGAUCUGUCUGGUUUCCUCUGGGGAAAUAGGAAAGGCAUAACUAAGAACCUGGAAACUGGAGUGGCAAAGAAAGAAGGCUAUUUGCAAAGUAGAGGAGAAAAAGAAGUUGAGAGGACAAAAAUAUCACCAUCAAAAAAGUUGGAGGAAUGCUGAGGAAGAUGACUUCCAGGGUGCAUCCUUGACACUCGUUACUUGUGUAAGUGACGUUGUGACAGAGACUGCAAACAAAUUGUCAACCCCAAUUAAUGCUCCCCUCUAUGUCAUAAAGUCGUGGCUGCAUACCCAGGACUACAAUUCUUAGCUCCUUUUCCUAUAAGAUGGGACCACAUGACUUGUUCUCGCCAAUAGGUGUAAGUGUUUCUCGCACUCUUCUUCCCUUUCUGCCUUGGCUCAAUACAAACGUAUCAUCCUUGGGGAUGCAGUGUUGAAUGAAGAUGGUGGAGCCAGAAGAUGGAAGGAGCCUGGUAUUUCAAAUGUUGCCUGGAAAAUAGCCCUUACCUUUUGGGGACACCUAUUUUUGCUUUCACAUGAGCAAGAAAUAAAAUUCUAUUGA